rnacentral:rRNA from 1 species
UGGUAUGCACUGGCUUCGCUGAUUCCUCCUUUCUGAAGAACUGUAAUGUCAUUAAUUUGGUGUUGCAGGGAAACAGGACUGUUACUUUGAAAAAAUUAGAGUGUUUAAAGCAGGCUAACGCUUGAAUACAUUAGCAUGGAAUAAUGAAAUAGGACGUUCGAUCCUAUUUUGUUGGUUUCUAGGAUUGACGUAAUGAUUAAUAGGGAUAGUUGGGGGCAUUAGUAUUCAAUUGUCAGAGGUGAAAUUCUUGGAUUUAUUGAAGACUAACUACUGCGAAAGCAUUUGCCAAGGAUAUUAUCAUUAAUCAAGAACGAAAGUUAGGGGAUCGAAGACGAUCAGAUACCGUCGUAGUCUUAACCAUAAACUAUGCCGACUAGGGAUCGGAUGAUGUUAAUUUUUUAAUGACUCAUUCGCC